rnacentral:rRNA from 2 species
UACGUAGGUGGCAAGCGUUGUCCGGAUUUAUUGGGUUUAAAGGGUGCGUAGGCGGGUUGGUAAGUCCGUGGUGAAAUCCCCAAGCUUAACUUGGGAACUGCCGUGGAUACUAUCAAUCUUGAAUAUCGUGGAGGUAAGCGGAAUAUGUCAUGUAGCGGUGAAAUGCUUAGAUAUGACAUAGAACACCAAUUGCGUAGGCAGCUUACUACACGAUCAUUGACGCUGAGGCACGAAAGCGUGGGGAGCAAACAGG